CUACGGGGUGCAGCAGUGGGGAAUCUUAGACAAUGGGCGCAAGCCUGAUCUAGCCAUGCCGCGUGAGCGAUGAAGGCCUUAGGGUUGUAAAGCUCUUUCAGUGGGGAAGAUAAUGACGGUACCCACAGAAGAAGCCCCGGCUAACUCCGUGCCAGCAGCCGCGGUAAUACGGAGGGGGCUAGCGUUGUUCGGAAUUACUGGGCGUAAAGCGCGCGUAGGCGGAUUGGAAAGUUGGAGGUGAAAUCCCAGGGCUCAACCUUGGAACUGCCUUCAAAACUUCCAGUCUGGAGUUCGAGAGAGGUGAGUGGAAUUCCGAGUGUAGAGGUGAAAUUCGUAGAUAUUCGGAGGAACACCAGUGGCGAAGGCGGCUCACUGGCUCGAUACUGACGCUGAGGUGCGAAAGCGUGGGGAGCAAACAGGAUUAGAUACCCUUGUAGUC
rnacentral:rRNA from 1 species